GACGAACGCUGGCGGCGUGCUUCACACAUGCAAGUCGAACGAAGUGGCGAACGGGUGAGUAAUACGUGGGUAACCUGCUUUUCACAGGGGAAUAACACUGGGAAACCAGUGCUAAUACCGCAUAGUGAAAGAUGGCAUCGCGCCUGAUUAGCUAGUAGGUGAGGUAACUGCGAAACUAGGUGAUGAUCAGUAGCCGGCCUGAAGGUUGACCGGCCACAUUGGGAGUGAGAUACGGCCCAGACUCGUACGGGAGGCAGCAGUGGGGGAUAUUGCACAAUGGCGAAAGCCUGAUGCAGCGACGCCGCGUGGGGGAUGAAGGCUUUCGGGUUGUAAACCUCUGUCCAUCGAACAGGGUAGGUGGAGAAGAAGCGCCGGCUAACUACGUGCCAGCAGCCGCGGUAAUUC
rnacentral:rRNA from 1 species